GACGAACGCUGGCGGCGUGCUUAACACAUGCAAGUCGAACGGAAAGGCCCUGCUUUUGUGGGGUGCUCGAGUGGCGAACGGGUGAGUAACACGUGAGUAACCUACCCUUGACUUUGGGAUAACUUCAGGAAACUGGGGCUAAUACCGGAUAGGAGCUCCUGCUGCAUGGUGGGGGUUGGAAAGUUUCGGCGUUUGGGGAUGGACUCGCGGCUUAUCCGCUUGUUGGUGGGGUUGUUGCUUACCAAGCCUUUGACGGGUAGCCGGCCUGAGAGGGUUACCGGCCACAUUGGGACUGAGAUACGGCCCAGACUCCUACGGGAGGCAGCAGUGGGGAAUAUUGCACAAUGGGCGGAAGCCUGAUGCAGCAACGCCGCGUGCGGGAUGACGGCCUUCGGGUUGUAAACCGCUUUCGCCUGUGACGAAGCGUGAGUGACGGUAAUGGGUAAAGAAGCACCGGCUAACUACGUG
rnacentral:rRNA from 1 species